rnacentral:tRNA from 1 species
AAACUUAGGAUAACCAAACCAAGAGCCUUCAAAGCCCCGAAUAGAAGUUAAACCCUUCUAGUUUC